GUCCCUCCAUCCCAUGUCAUCCUCUCCUUGGUGCCCAAGGCAGGACCCCCCCUCACUAAAUGCCUUCCUCAUUUUUCACAGUGGUUUCUCUUGUGAUGCUCAUCCAAAUUCUCCACCAUCAAGCCUGGGGUGAUUUGACUGGACGCAACAAGGAGGUCCAACAACUUUUCAGAAUACAGUGGCACAAAGACACGCUGCUGCAGUCCGAUCACAGCCGUUACCACCUGUGAGACUUCUCCCAUUAUUUUGCAGUGGAUCUGAGACAUCCUUCAGGCCUCUGCUUUGAGACCACAGUUCUGCC